CACCUGGGGAGUACGGCCGCAAGGUUAAAACUCAAAUGAAUUGACGGGGGCCCGCACAAGCGGUGGAGCAUGUGGUUUAAUUCGACGCAACGCGAAGAACCUUACCUGGCCUUGACAUCCAGAGAGCUUUCCAGAGAUGGAUUGGUGCCUUCGGGAACUCUGAGACAGGUGCUGCAUGGCCGUCGUCAGCUCGUGUCGUGAGAUGUUGGGUUAAGUCCCGUAACGAGCGCAACCCCUAUCCCUGGUUGCUAGCAGGUAAUGCUGAGAACUCCAGGGAGACUGCCGGUGACAAACCGGAGGAAGGUGGGGAUGACGUCAGGUCAUCAUGGCCCUUACGGCCAGGGCUACACACGUGCUACAAUGGCGCGUACAGAGGGCUGCCAACUCGCGAGAGUGAGCCAAUCCCUUAAAACGCGUCGUAGUCCGGAUCGGAGUCUGCAACUCGACUCCGUGAAGUCGGAAUCGCUAGUAAUCGCGAAUCAGAAUGUCGCGGUGAAUACGUUCCCGGGCCUUGUACACACCGCCCGUCACACUAUGGGAGUGGAUUGCACCAGAAGUAGUUAGUCUAACCUUCGGGAGGACGAUUACCACGGUGUGGUUCAUGACUGGGGUGAAGUCGUAACAAGGUAACCGUA
rnacentral:rRNA from 1 species